rnacentral:rRNA from 1 species
GUAGGUGGCAAGCGUUGUCCGGAAUUAUUGGGCGUAAAGCGCGCGCAGGCGGUUCUUUAAGUCUGAUGUGAAAGCCCACAGCUCAACCGUGGAGGGUCAUUGGAAACUGGAGAACUUGAGUACAGAAGAGGAAAGCGGAAUUCCACGUGUAGCGGUGAAAUGCGUAGAGAUGUGGAGGAACACCAGUGGCGAAGGCGGCUUUCUGGUCUGUAACUGACGCUGAGGCGCGAAAGCGUGGGGAGCAAACAGGAUUAGAUACCCUGGUAGUCCACGCCGUAAACGAUGAGUGCUAAGUGUUAGGGGGUUUCCGCCCCCCUUAGUGCUGCAGCUAACGCAUUAAGCACUCCGCCUGGGAGUACGGCCGCAAGGCUG